rnacentral:rRNA from 1 species
AUGAAGCUUAAGAUCAACAAGGCGUGCGACCUCGCCUCCAUCUCCGUCCUCCCUCCCCGGAGGACCAGAGGGAGCAGCGGUGGCGGAAUGAGCGCGCCUGCUGCUGCUUCCGCGGCGCCGCAGCAGCGGUCCCAGUCGAUGUCGCAGAAGUCCUUCUCGCAGGACGGUGGUGGCGGGACGAGCGCGCCUUCUGAUGCUUCCGCAGCGCAGCAGCAGCGGUCCCAGUCGAUGUCGCAGAAGUCCUUCUCGCAGGGCGGCGGCGGCGCGUCCUUCUCGCAGGGCAUAGGCAGCGGAGGCGCGUCCUUCUCCCAGGGCAGAGGCGCGUUCUUCUCCCAGGGCAGCGGCGGCGGGGGCGCCGCGUUCUCUCAGGGCGGUGGAGGCGGAGGCGCGGCGUUCUCUCAGGGCGGAGGUGGCGGAGGCGCGGCGUUCUCUCAGAGCGGAGGUGGCGGAGGCACGGCGUUCUCUCAGGGCGGAGGUGGCGGAGGCGCGGCGUUCUCUCAGGGCGGAGGUGGCGGAGGCGCGGCCUUCUCGCAGGGCGGUGGCAGCGCGUCGCUCUUGCACGCGCAGUCGCAGCUCUCGCAGGCCUCCCUCAACGAGAGCCUCCUCAGCCUCCUCUCGCAGGCUCCCGCGCGCGACCAGAGAUUUGCCAUGAAAGAGGACCCGUCGAAGCGGAUGUCUUCGUAUCCUGCCAGUUCAGCUUCUUCUUGUAUGCGCGAUGAAUCUCAGCUACAACUUGCAAAUGUACCAACCAACCCUAUCCACCGCUGGAGCCCCUCUCUUCCGGAUAGCAGAUGUCAGGUUAAUGAGGAUGUUGAGCGCAAAUUUCAGCAUCUGGCAAGUUCAGUACAGAAGAUGGGAAUGAUAUUAGACUCUGUGCAAAAUGAUGUGAUGCAGUUAAACAGAGGCAUGAAGGAGGCAUCACUAGACUCUGGUGGCAUUCAGAACAAGUUUGUGAUCCUAGAGGACUCUCUAAAGCAAAUUCUUAAGGGACAAGAUGAUCUCAAAGCACUCCUCAAGGGAAGCACGAAAAGUAGUCCUGACCAGCUGAGUAUUCUCACCAGCAAAAUGGAUAAGAUAUCCUCGAUACUUUCAGUCUUGCCAAAGCAAGUUCAAACAGAAUUCGAGCAAUUCAAGGGUGACAUCUUUAGGAUUUUUACAAAAGAGAUGGAGGGGAUCGUUAGAGCUGUCAGAUCUCUCGAUAGUAGGCUGCCCGGUGCGAUGCAAAUGCUGGCAGACCAGAGCUGCACCACCAAUGCAAAACCCCUGAUGAACCAGACAGCAGUAGAAAAUGGAAGCCCCCUGAUGAACCAAGGACCGGUAGCAGACAGAAGGCCGCAGAAGAAACCAACGGCAAUAGCAAAUGGAAGGCCCAAGAGGAAGAACCAAACGGCAGCAGCAAAUGGAAGGCCCCAGAGGAAGAACCAACCAGCAGGAGCAAAUGGGAGGCCCCAGAGGAAGAAACCAACAGAAACAGCAGCAAAUGCAAAGCCCCAGAGGUACCUCACACGAGUGGCAAAUGGAAGGCCCCAAGUGAAACAAACAGAAGCAGCAGAUGGAAGGUCGCAGACGAACCAGAAACCCGAGGCAAAUGGGAAAGCCCUGAUACCAGUAACAAAAGCCGUUCCUGCUGCACCUGUGGUUUAUCAGCGAAAGGCGGUUGAUCUGGAGCCAAAGCUGGAACACAGGAUGGUACAGAAAUUGGCUGGCCCAAGCUACAGCAGGCCAGCGCCACCUAAAGAGCAAGAGUUGGCCAUUCAGAAGGUCAAUACAGAGGCGCCAAUCAACAAGAUGCAGGCCAUGCUGGGCAUUCUCAUGGACUCGGAUGACGACGACGACACUGAGGGGGGCGACAGCGACUGGAGCGCCUCCUGCGUGAUCCUGAAGUUGGAAGCAGGGCGUGAGGGUGAUGAGGUGGUGCCGGAGGAGGCGACGAGCGAGGGGGAGGGGGAGGCCCUGGAGAUCCUGCGGCGGGCGAGGAAGCGGCGGCGGAGGGAGGCCAACGCCAACGCCAUCGUGCUCGUCCAAGACCAAUGCUGA